GACGAACGCUGGCGGCGUGCUUAACACAUGCAAGUCGAACGGAAAGGCCCUGCUUUUGUGGGGUGCUCGAGUGGCGAACGGGUGAGUAACACGUGAGUAACCUGCCCUGUACUGUGGGAUAACUUCAGGAAACUGUGGCUAAUACCGGAUAGGAGCUCCUGCUGCAUGGUGGGAGAUGGAAAGUUUCGGCGGUUGGGGAUGGACUCGCGGCUUAUCAGCUUGUUGGUGGGGUAGUGGCUUACGAAGGGUUUGAUGGGUAGCCGGCCUGAGAGGGUGACCGGCCACAUUGGGACUGAGAUACGGCCCAGACUCCUACGGGAGGCAGCAGUGGGGAAUCUUGCCCAAUGGGCGGAAGCCUGAUGCAGAGACGCCGCGUGCGGGAUGACGGCCUUCGGGUUGUAAACCGCUUUCGCCUGUGACGAAGCGUGAGUGACGGUAAUGGGUAAAGAAGCACCGGCUAACUACGUG
rnacentral:rRNA from 1 species